rnacentral:rRNA from 1 species
CCUACGGGUGACAGCAGUGAGGAAUAUUGGUCAAUGGACGAGAGUCUGAACCAGCCAAGUAGCGUGAAGGAUGACUGCCCUAUGGGUUGUAAACUUCUUUUAUAUGGGAAUAAAACGUUCCACGUGUGGGAUUUUGUAUGUAACAUAUGAAUAAGGAUCGGCUAACUCCGUGCCAGCAGCCGCGGUAAUACGGAGGAUCCGAGCGUUAUCCGGAUUUAUUGGGUUUAAAGGGAGCGUAGGUGGAUUGUUAAGUCAGUUGUGAAAGUUUGCGGCUCAACCGUAAAAUUGCAGUUGAAACUGGCAGUCUUGAGUACAGUAGAGGUGGGCGGAAUUCGUGGUGUAGCGGUGAAAUGCUUAGAUAUCACGAAGAACUCCGAUUGCGAAGGCAGUUCACUGGACUGCAACUGACACUGAGGCUCGAAAGUGUGGGUAUCAAACAGGAUUAGAUACCCCAGUAGUC